rnacentral:lncRNA from 1 species
AAAAUCACUAAUUUAAUGUUCAUAUACAUAUUUCUUGUUGUGGUAACAAGUAAUAUAGGAUGCUAGUAAUUCCAAGCCAACACAUAAUUGCAUACUAAUAACCAUCCAACAUAGUGAUGGAAAAAGAAACAUGAUAUCCUACAGGUUGUUCCUAUGAGCAGUGAUAUAUUUUCAAGCUAAAGAAAGUUUGUACAAGUGCUAGGAAAUAACAAGGAAUGUAACAAUGAGGAUAUUAAACUUUUACUUUGGUAAAGAGUAAAGGAAAACAAGAGUAAGCACAUUCCAACACACAGAAACUCUUGAAAGAUUUGAUGGUAGUUCGAAUACAUACCCAGACUUAGAUUAAACGUUAGUAAAAAUAAAAGGGACAAAUAGUGAGAAAAUAGAAUAACAACAACUUUACCAUUUGUAGGGGAUGCGGAUAACUAAUUUAUGAAAUAGAUUUAGUAUAUAUAUAAUGAAUCUAUUUUUCUUUGUGCGUGGAUAUUUCUUGAAUUUUGUUUCAAUAUUUUUUAAUGAUUUAUUCUUUUCGUAAGAUGUAUUCAUUAAUUUGUUUGGUUUAUUAUUUUAUCCUGUAGUAAUUGCAGAGUUACAAAUUUCUGUAUAAUAAUUUAUCCUAACUGUACUG